rnacentral:rRNA from 1 species
CUACGGGAGGCAGCAGUGGGGAAUACUGCACAAUGGAGGAAACUCUGAUGCAGCAAUGCCGCGUGGAGGAUGACACUUUUCGGAGCGUAAACUCCUUUUAUAUAGGAAGAAGAUGACGGUACUAUAUGAAUAAGCGCCGGCUAACUCCGUGCCAGCAGCCGCGGUAAUACGGAGGGCGCAAGCGUUACUCGGAAUCACUGGGCGUAAAGAGCGUGUAGGCGGACUAAAAAGUCAGAAGUGAAAUCCUAUAGCUUAACUAUAGAACUGCUUCUGAAACUCUUAAUCUAGAAUAUGGGAGAGGUAGAUGGAAUUUCUGGUGUAGGGGUAAAAUCCGUAGAGAUCAGAAGGAAUACCGAUUGCGAAGGCGAUCUACUAGAACAUUAUUGACGCUGAGACGCGAAAGCGUGGGGAGCAAACAGGAUUAGAUACCCUUGUAGUC